ensembl:lncRNA
GUAUCCUCUCAGUUUACCCUGUAGGUAUCCUCUCAGUUUACCCUGUAGGUAUCGGUCAGUGUACCCUGUAGGUAUCGGUCAGUGUACCCUGUAGGUAUCGGUCAGUGUACCCUGUAGGUAUCGGUCAGUGUACCCUGUAGGUAUCGGUCAGUGUACCCUGUAGGUAUCGGUCAGUUUACCCUGUAGGUAUCGGUCAGUGUAUCGGUCAGUUUACCCUGUAGGUAUCGGUCAGUGUACCCUGUAGGUAUCCUCUCAGUUUACCCUGUAGGUAUCGGUCAGUUUACCCUGUAGGUAUCCUCUCAGUGUACCCUGUAGGUAUCGGUCAGUUUACCCUGUAGGUAUCGGUCAGUUUAACCUGUAGGUAUCGGUCAGUGUACCCUGUAGGUAUCGGUCAGUUUACCCUGUAGGUAUCGGUCAGUGUACCCUGUAGGUAUCGGUCAGUUUACCCUGUAGGUAUCGGUCAGUGUACCCUGUAGGUAUCGGUCAGUGUACCCUGUAGGUAUCCUCUCAGUUUACCCUGUAGGUAUCGGUCAGUUUACCCUGUAGGUAUCCUCUCAGUGUACCCUGUAGGUAUCGGUCAGUGUACCCUGUAGGUAUCCUCUCAGUGUACCCUGUAGGUAUCGGUCAGUGUACCCUGUAGGUAUCCUCUCAGUUUACCCUAUUUGAAAGCUGAGUUGGAUUAGAGCUACGGCUUUAUGCUACUGGAGUUGAGUUGGAUUAGAGCUACGGCCUUAUGCUACUGGAGUUGAGUUGGAUUAGAGCUACGGCGUUAUGCUACUGGAGUUGAGUUGGAUUAGAGCUACGGCGUUAUGCUACUGGAUUUGAGUUGGAUUAGAGCUACGGCGUUAUGCUACUGGAGUUGCAUUGUACGGGACUUAAUGUGCGUGCAUGGUGUGAAUAUCGGGUUACCAAUCCAAUGCUCUAAACCUGAUAUUUGAAAAUAAGACAUUUUAGAAAUGAAUUGAAAUGAUUAAGUAUAGAGUACGUUGAAGUUUCUACUUUAUCCAUAUUUAUAACAUAUUUUUUAUCUCCUGAAAUUCCACACCAUUGAUUUAAUGUGUCUUACUGUUAAAGGUGUUGAAAGAUAUACAGUACAGACUAACCACAUGUGUUUUCCGUUUUUAGUUCUCUCUCUGAAAUACAACAGAACCUGAUGUCCCACCAUUCAUGUGACAUGUAUGGUAGGUUACUGUAAAUGUGACAAUGUGACAUGUCUGGUAGGUUACUGUAAAUGUGACAUGUCUGGUAGGUUACUGUAAAUGGCAGGGUUCAAACCGUGUAUUACAAUACCCACAGCUCUUACAUUCUGAAGCACAACUCUAGUUUCAGAACGCUGGUUGUAAAUAUUGUCUCGUGUUACUGUACAUUUGAAUUAGGCUGACUUGAUCGUCUUUCCAUUGGUUUAAUGUCAAUUUAAAACUGUCAUUUUGAAUUGUAUGACUGCAAGGUAUGUUUAGAUUUGUUUUGUGUACGUAAGAUCAUUAACACAUAUUGUCGUGCAGCACGAUAUACACUUGGAGAAUUUGUACAUUACAGGGCUAUUUUAACGGCAAUGGUUGAAAAAAUAUGACGUUGCUCAGAAUAUCACUCUAAUCUUGGGUUUUAUGCGGUUGAUUUAUUAAAAUAAAUGAUAUUCUGUUGCUGUAAAGGAACUGAUCUGCUGUUGAAUAUCUUCUGAUAAUGGUGGUUAACAAAAAACUACAACAAACUUUUGGUCAAUUCAGGUUUUUCUUCUACUUUGUUCAUUUUUUAAUGUGUACAUUUAUUAUUAUUAUUAUUAUAUUUUUUUUUUGCGUUUGGUUUUGAUAUUACAUACAGACAGGAAAUCCAAGUUUGCUCACUUACAUGAGUGGUCAAAAGUAGUGCACUACAUAGGGAAUAGGAUGCCAUUUUGAACUAAAUUAGAGUAGAUUAAUACGUUGUGUGUGUGUGUGGCAGGGAACAUAGUCCCUGUGGUGCAGGGUAGGCAACCCUGUUCCUGAAGGGCUUCAGGUACAGCAGGAUCUGGUUCCAACUACGCGCCACAUCUGACCAACUGAGCUAAUUGAUCAGUUCAGUGAUUGCCUAAAUUCAUCACACCUGGUCUUCUAGGUUGUUUAAGUCCAAACAUGAGGUGCUUGUGGGAGGGUUGCCUUACCCUACUGUGGUGCUAUGAUAAAGGCCCUAUUCAGGAAGUGUCUCAUAAAUGGCUAAUACAGUCUUGUGACCGCUGACCUGGAUUCGAAUCCUAGUCGGUGUCACCUUUCACACAGCACCAGGACCUGUAGUCUUAAAGCAUCUCACAGUAGGAGUGCUGAUCUAGAAUCAGUGUAUGCUUUUACAUCAUAAUAAUUACAGUAUAUGGACAGGAUCGAUCUGCUCCUAGAUCAGCACUUAUAUUCUAAGACGCUUUGUGAAUAUGGGCCCAGAGUUAAAUUAAUAGAUUCUUGGAUGUGGUAUUUCUGUAAAAAAAAAAAAAAUCUGUAUUUGGGAAUAUUUUUGUACAAAUCUGAAUCGGUAAUGUACACAUUUUCAGUGUCAUUAAAGCGUGUUCAAUUGUCUAUUUUAACUGUGCACUGUCUGUGUAAUGGUUUUCUUCCGUUGAAAGAGAGGACCAAAGCGCAGCGUGGUAAGUGUCCAUGGUAUUUAUUAAACACAUAAACUGAACACUCCAUACAAAAACAAUAAACGUA